GACAGAGGGUGCAAACGUUGUUCGGAAUUACUGGGCGUAAAGCGCGUGUAGGCUGCUCCGAAAGUCGGAUGUGAAAGCCCUGGGCUCAACCUAGGAAGUGCAUUCGAAACUUCGGAGCUGGAGUCCUGGAGAGGAAGGCGGAAUUCUCGGUGUAGAGGUGAAAUUCGUAGAUAUCGAGAGGAACACCGGUGGCGAAGGCGGCCUUCUGGACGAGUGACUGACGCUGAGACGGCGAAAGCGUGGGGAGCAAACAGG
rnacentral:rRNA from 1 species